rfam:Clostridium sp. CAG:127 genomic scaffold, scf56
GGCGUGAUAGCCAAGAGGUAAGGCAGAGGUCUGCAACACCUUCACCGCCGGUUCAAAUCCGGCUCGCGCCU